AGCUGGGGCCGGGCUUCGGCGCAGAGGCAGGAAGAGGAAGCGGCACCCGCUUCGGGGACCCAGCCGGCGGCCAGGCCACCGCGCCCACCCGGCCGAUGGCACCGUGUUCCUGCGCCUCGGGAGGGAGGAGGCUCUGCGCGGGACUGCAGGUUCUGCCCCGCAUCGGAGUGAUCGCUGAGCCUGACGCUCUCGAAGGCUGGGCCUGGGGCCCGCAAUCUACUCCGGAGGCUUUCCCACUGGGCAGGGUCGCUAGCAGGGUGCCACCCGGGUGCAGUGAGGACCUGGAGCCCCUGCCCCAGGCUGUGAGGAGACUUGACCAGAGCUGCCUGAAUGCUCCACGGAGCAGGAGGAAGCAUUCCCAUGUGAAAGAUGAGCUCCCUAUAAAAGCAACGCUCUUAUCAUCGAGAACAGAAAGUUGAAGCCAAGAGAGAGCUCCACAAGCUGACCUUGUUAAACUAACCCUUAUCUUCUUAGUCGCUUCUUUACCCAAUUAACUACCCUAGCCGAAGCCCCUUUGCCUUAUUACAUUUUGCAACAGUGUUCGUUGUCCAAUUCAGUAUACAAGUGAGUGACUCUGGAUGCUUUUUGGGGUCUUCGUUUCCUUAUGAGGGCUUCUGUGCCAUGUAAAACUUGUAUUAAAUAAAUUUGUAUGCUUUUCUCCUGUUAAU
rnacentral:lncRNA from 1 species